rnacentral:tRNA from 1 species
GGUAGUGUGGCCGAGCGAGGCAGUGAGUUGUAGCCUCACCUACUGGGGUUUAACCCCCGCUACCAGCC